rnacentral:rRNA from 1 species
ACCCGCCACCAAAUCUCCUUGUCAAAGCCUGAUCUCAUCAGAUCUCAGAAGCUAAGCAAUGCAGGGCCUGGUUAGUACUUGAAUGUGUUGGUGGUGGUUGGAG